rnacentral:rRNA from 1 species
AACGAACGCUGGCGGCAUGCCUAAUACAUGCAAGUCGAACGCGCACUUCAGGCCUAGUCGUGCACGAGCAUGUACCGCGUGGUAACCUGCGGUUAGGAUCGGAAUAGUUCCCUGCCUGGGGUCCUAAUACCGGUAAAUGUCUCCGGACCUAAGAUGUAUCACCUUUAGUUGGGGCAGCGUUGUUAUAUGUAAUUGGCAACGUAACCGCCUACCAAGGCGCCGACCCAUAGCUGGCUUGAGAGGAUGAUCAGCCACACUGGGACUGAGACACGGACCCGACUCCUACGGGAGGCAGCAGGGGUGAAUAUUGGACGAUGGGCGAGAGCCUGAGCCAGCAAGGCCGUGUGAGUGAUGAAGGACUGAGGGUUGUAAAGCUCUUUUAACCGGGAUGAUAAUGACAGUACCGGGAGAAUAAGCGCCGGCUAACUCCGUG